ACGGGUGAGUAAUGUCUGGGAAACUGCCUGAUGGAGGGGGAUAACUACUGGAAACGGUAGCUAAUACCGCAUAACGUCGCAAGACCAAAGAGGGGGACCUUCGGGCCUCUUGCCAUCAGAUGUGCCCAGAUGGGAUUAGCUAGUAGGUGGGGUAACGGCUCACCUAGGCGACGAUCCCUAGCUGGUCUGAGAGGAUGACCAGCCACACUGGAACUGAGACACGGUCCAGACUCCUACGGGAGGCAGCAGUGGGGAAUAUUGCACAAUGGGCGCAAGCCUGAUGCAGCCAUGCCGCGUGUAUGAAGAAGGCCUUCGGGUUGUAAAGUACUUUCAGCGGGGAGGAAGGCGACAAGGUUAAUAACCUUGUCGAUUGACGUUACCCGCAGAAGAAGCACCGGCUAACUCCGUGCCAGCAGCCGCGGUAAUACGGAGGGUGCAAGCGUUAAUCGGAAUUACUGGGCGUAAAGCGCACGCAGGCGGUCUGUCAAGUCGGAUGUGAAAUCCCCGGGCUCAACCUGGGAACUGCAUUCGAAACUGGCAGGCUAGAGUCUUGUAGAGGGGGGUAGAAUUCCAGGUGUA
rnacentral:rRNA from 1 species